rnacentral:rRNA from 1 species
CCCUUAGAUGUUCUGGGCCGCACGCGCGCUACACUGUUCGACGCAGCGAGUCUUAACCUUGACCGAAAGGUUUGGGUAAUCUUCAGCAAAGUCGAACGUGAUGGGGAUCGAUCAUUGCAAUUAUUGAUCGUGAACGAGGAAUUCCUAGUAAGUGCAAGUCAUCAGCUUGCGCUGAUUACGUCCCUGCCUUUUGUACACACCGCCCGUCGCUACUACCGAUUGAAUGGUUUAGUGAGAUCUCUGGAUUGACGCUGGCUAGGGGGCGACCCUUGGCCAGACUGUUGAGAAACUGCUCAAACUUGAUCAUUUAGAGGAAGUAAAAGUCGUAACA